CUGCCACAAGAAAAUCGCUGGUUACCCAGAGCAGUUGUGCCCUGAUACCAGACUGAAAGGAUUUCAACAAAUUAUUAGAAGUUAAGCUAUUGGUGAGCUGGGAGGCUACAACAUGCUCGAGAACUUUUCACAGGAAAGAUCAAACGUUACCAGCUACACAAAAUGGGACUAAGCAGAAAUCCACAUGCAGUGGGAAACAUGUCCUCCUCACAUCAACCUAAAACAGAAUACUGCCCUUGAGCCCAGAAUGGAAUUAAAAUUGUGAUGACGUUUAUGGAAAGAGCAGCCACAGGAAGCAGAGGACAUGCUUAUUUCAGGGCUCUCACACACUUAAACUUGAGCUGCUCACCGUCUUGUCUAUUCAGUGUUCAUCCUUUCAUACACCGUCUCUGCAACGUCAGUUGUGCCGCACGAGGGCUAAAGAUCUUAAAUACGGUGCACUACAAGCCUCCACUCCAAGAAGUCUGAAUGUUCAUUCUUAUUGAUAGCAAAAGAAAACAGAGGCACAAGUAGUCACUUCUGAAAUAAACCUGAUAUGAAAUUCAUUUUGCGUGUUGGGGGCAGCAGAGAUGAUUAAUCUUAAUAAUCACUUUGCACUAAGCACUUGGAGCUACAUUUUAUGUAUGAAAAUGUGCUAUAUAAAUAAAUAAUGUUGUUGUUGUUGUUAAUAUUUUCUUGUAUUAAUGUUGUGCUUUCAAAUGGCAAAAUCUUCCAUCAAACCACCUGAAGAGUGAGAAGCGCAAUAACGGUGACAGAGGGGCUCUGCUUUUCAGGCUGGGCAGCAAAGGCCACUGGGGCUACAAGAUGUUCUCCAGAAGAGUGGUUGUGCAGA